rnacentral:ncRNA from 2 species
AUACAGGGUAGAGGCGCCAGUGUAAAGAGUAUUUAUUAGGAGCUGCAAGCUAUGAUUAAUAAAGAAAGGUGCAAUGGCCGAAGUUAGCUGACCGCAAGAAGGCUUUCUGGGUAUAUGUAUAAUAUGCAUAUAACUGUCACAUAACGUGGAGUGCUACAACUGAG